GGGAUUGCGGGCGCGUCAGGUGGGGACGAUGGGCCACGGGCGAGUCAGGAGAACUAUGCCAUUUUUGGGUCAGGACUGGAGAUCUCCUGGAUGGAGUUGGAUUAAGACAGAAGAUGGCUGGAAGAGUUGUGAAUCUUGUAGUCAGAAACUUGAAAGAGAGAAUAACCAUUGUAACAUCAGUCACAGCAUGAGCUUCGGGUCCACCUGUUUGGAAGCACCCAGGCGGCUUGGAGAGGUCCGGCCUUCGGGUGCGACCCGCAGGGGUUGCCUUGCCCGGCUCGCGGAACGGACGUUUACCUGUCGCAGCUACGAACCCACCAAC
rnacentral:lncRNA from 1 species